rnacentral:rRNA from 1 species
GAUGAACGCUGGCGGCGUGCUUAACACAUGCAAGUCGAACGGGAAACUUUUCAUUGACGCUUCGGCAGAUUUGGUCUGUUUCUAGUGGCGGACGGGUGAGUAACGCGUGGGUAACCUGCCUUAUACAGGGGGAUAACAACCAGAAAUGGUUGCUAAUACCGCAUAAGCGCACAGGACCGCAUGGUCCGGUGUGAAAAACUCCGGUGGUAUAAGAUGGACCCGCGUUGGAUUAGCUAGUUGGCAGGGUAACGGCCUACCAAGGCGACGAUCCAUAGCCGGCCUGAGAGGGUGAACGGCCACAUUGGGACUGAGACACGGCCCAGACUCCUACGGGAGGCAGCAGUGGGGAAUAUUGCACAAUGGGGGAAACCCUGAUGCAGCGACGCCGCGUGAAGGAAGAAGUAUCUCGGUAUGUAAACUUCUAUCAGCAGGGAAGAUAGUGACGGUACCUGACUAAGAAGCCCCGGCUAACUACGUG